rnacentral:lncRNA from 1 species
AUGGUUCCAGAUUUCUUUCCUAGGGUUUCUAUCUCCAGUGUUGCCUCACUUUGAGUUUUCUUUAUUGUUUCUACUUCCCUUUUUAGGUCUAGUAUGGUUUUGUUCGUUUCCAUCACCUGUUUGUAUGUUUUUUCCUCUUUUUCUGUAAGGACUUCUACCUGUUUGAUUGUGUUUUCCUGUUUUUCUUUAAGGACUUGUAACUCUUUAGCAGUGUUCUCCUGUAUUUCUUUAAGUGAUUUAUUAAAGUCCUUCUUGAUGUCCUCUACCAUCAUCAUGAGAUAUGCUUUUAAAUCUAGGUCUAGGUUUUCGGGUGUGUUGGGGUGCCCUGGACUGGGCGAAGUGGGAGUACUGGGUUCUGAUGAUGGUGAGUGGUCUUGGUUCCUGUUAGUAGGAUUCCUACGUUUACCUUUCGCCAUCUGGUAAUCUCUGGAGUUAGUAGUUAUAGUUGACUCUGUUUAGAGAUUGUUCUUCUGGUGAUUCUGUUACCGUCUCUCAGCAGACCUGGGAGACAGAUUCUCUCCUCUGAGUUUCAGUGCUCAGAGCACUCUCUGCUGGCAAGCUCUCUUACAGGGAAGGUGCGCAGAUAUCUUGUUUUUGGACCUCCUCCUGGUCGAAGAAGAAGGCCCAAAACAGGGCCUCUCUCAGAAGCUGUGUUGCUUUGGCAGUUCCCAGAAGCUGUGAGCUUCUGUGGUGCAGACUCUCACCUGUGCAGACUAAAAUCCUAAGUUCCAGGGAGUCCUGGAACCAAGAUGGUGACCGCUGCUCCUGAGGCCGAGGCCGUCUCCCGAGCCAGGCGGACACCUGUCCUCUGGUCCGGAUGGUGGCCGGUUAUCUGCGGCCCGCCCAGGCUGCUGCCUCAGCGGCUCUGUGCUUCUGCCCGUCCCAGAAGCUGUCCGGUUCUCUGGCGCACCCUCUAACCUGUUCAGACUAAUUUCCUAAAUUCUGCUGAGUCCCGGAACCAAGAUGGCGACCGCUGCUGCUGAGGCUGAGGCCGCCUCCCAAGCCAGGCGGACACCUGUCCUCUGGUCCGGAUGGUGGCCGGUUGUCUGCGGCCCGCCCAGGCUGCUGCCUCAGCGGCUCUGUGCUUCCGCCCGUCCCAGAAGCUGUCCGGUUCUCUGGUGCACCCUCUAACCUGUUCAGACUAAUUUCCUAGGUCCCGCGGAGUCCCGGAACCCAGAUGGCGACCGCUGCUGCUGAGGCUCUCAUGCUCCUCUUGGUUAUGCAGACCUCCCCAGCACUUUUAAGUUCCUGCCUAAGGAGAAAGAAGUGUGCAGAGAUCCAGCCAUCACUAUCUCCUAGCUACUCUGUACCUCCACUUCUUAUGUUAGAGGAAAACUUACAUGAAUCAGCUCUUUCCUUCUACCACUCGGGUCCCUAGAAUGGAACUCAGGUCACGAGGCUUGACAGCAAGAACCUUUACCUGCUGAGUCAUCUCACCACUUAAAUCUCCAUUUUUGAAAGGACAGUUAUCUCUACCACCCAACCCCUGGACCUUAGCAGCUCGGGACCAUUCAGUGUCUAAUGCCUAAAGUUAGAUUUCAAGCUUUGUCUUAGAAAUUGAUUGUUGUAGUGCCACCUCUUCAAGUUAUCCACUGGAUUUUACUGUUUCCUACUGAGCCCAGGACCUGGGUGCUAUCACAUGGCAUCUCUCAGCCUGUGUCUGGCACAUAGCCAACCCAGAAAAGACACCUGCUAAAUGACUACAUGGAUGAUAUUCAACAAUCGGGUUCACCAGAAGCUGUGGAAAAGAUACCUAGGGUACAAAAGAAGAAGACACCUAAGAGCUGCUGUGGCAGUGCCAGAUGCUAGAUGCCACUUUGUGUCACAGUCUUUGGGAGACCAGAUGUGAGAUGAAAAACACUUUGAAAGCUGAGACUGGCAGAGCCAGGGAAGGCAGAAAGGGUGAGGUAACAGGAUAGAGAGGGGUCAUACAGAAAAGGAGGGCUGGUAUAAGUCCUGGAGUGACUCAUUCAUCAUUUAAUUUUGGAUUUUUCUUUCCCUGAGUCCUCUGGGAAGUUGGUACUACCUGGAUUGUUAGGGUCAAAGCCUGGGCCCCUACAGCCACAGCAAGCUAUGUUCAGCCACCCGUCCUCAAUAGGCCUCUGACCUCCAGACACACAUGUGCACAAACAUUCCCAUGCAUACAUGCGCGUGCACACACAUCAUACACACACACACACACACACAGAGCUAAAUAAGCAUAAAUUCUACUGAUGUCAUACAUAGCUUUGCUCCCUGAAUUUUGCUUCAAUAUUCUGUCUCAGUCUCCCUGCUGUAUGGACACAGUAACAAACUCAAACACAAUAGAGAUGUCCCAGAAAGAAUUCUCAAAUGUCACAGAACUUGCACAUUAAAAUUUACUCCUGUUCUGGGGAUGUAGCUCAGUUGGUAGUCUGACCGGCACACAUGAGUCCCUGAGUUCCAUCCUUAGCAUCAUAGAAUGGAGCACUCUGCAUACCUGUCCUUCCAGGACUGUAAAGGAAGAUCAGGAGUUCAAGGUCAUCCUAGGCUACAUAGCAUUGAAGGUUAGCCUGGGCUCAAUGAGACCUUGUCAUAAAAGAAAACAUAUGUAAAUUCCCAGGACCUUAAGCAAGUAGAAAUGUAGCAUUCCUGUUGCUUUUCCCCCUGAGCCUUGGACUUUAAUGCUUUUAGAAGUAUGAAAAAUGUUCCCAGAAACAAAACAAGCAAGUGUACUCAUCUACAGCAGAAAGAGGAGAUGGUUUUGAACCAGUCCCAUCCAAUUCAAAUAAAGAGUGAGCAAACAGAAGUUCUAUUAAUACAGCAAGAACACACCCCUACCCAAGGGAAUGAAGUGGAUUUCUCGAGAUGACCAACACAGCACACCAUCUUCUUCCCAAGUUCAGAGCGCCCAUCUUUCCCCCUGCUCCUUCUGUCUUAAGGGAAAUCUCAAUCCCACUCAUCUCUUUGCCCACUUGAGACAAGUUCUGAGCUCAUAAGUUCUCGAUGUUGUAUCCUGGAGACAAACUCGGCAUCUCAAGCAGCUCUUCUGAGACAACAGUGAUACGGAGUGAGUCAUGGAACUUUCAAUAUCACACAUGAUCAGUGCCUUGCUCAGCCGUCAUCAGAGAAGCCUCCUCCUGCAGCAGAUGGGAACAGAUACAGAGACCCACAACUGGGCAAUGAUCAGAGAGUGAGAGAUCUUGGAACCGUCAGUCCUAAAUGGGAUGUCUCCAUCAGAUCACUCCCCUCAGGGUUCAGGAAACUCUGAAGAAGAGGAGACAGAGAGUGUAAGAGCCAGUGGGGAUGCAAGACACCAAGGAAACAAGGCCUUCUAGACACAGCAGGACUGAUGCACUUAUGAACUCAGAGACUGUUGCAGCAAGCACAGGGUCUGCACAGGUCUAAGCCAGAUAGGGUCCCAGCACUGAUCUGAAUGAGGUGGAUGCACAUCCACAUUCCUAACCCAGACGCUAUAUCCAAUAAACAACCAGUCAUAAAGGAAAAGU